rnacentral:rRNA from 1 species
AUUGAACGCUGGCGGCAGGCCUAACACAUGCAAGUCGAGCGGCAGCGGAAGGAAGCUUGCUUCCUUGCCGGCGAGCGGCGGACGGGAGAGUAAGGUAUGGGGAUCUGGCCGAAGACGGGGGAUAACCACUGGAAGCGGUGGCUAAUACCGCAUAAUCUCUAAGGAGCAAAGUGGGGGACCGUUCAGGCCUCACACCUUCGGAUGAACCCAUAUGAGAUUAGCUAGUAGGUGGGGUAAUGGCUCACCUAGGCGACGAUCUCUAGCUGGUCUGGGAGGAUGAUCAGCCACACUGGGACUGAGACACGGCCCAGACUCAUACGGGAGGCAGCAGUGGGGAAUAUUGCACAAUGGGCGCAAGCCUGAUGCAGCCAUGCCGCGUGUAUGAAGAAGGCCUUCGGGUUGUAAAGUACUUUCAGUCGUGAGGAAGGUGUUAAGGUUAAUAACCUUAGCAAUUGACGUUAGCGACAGAAGAAGCACCGGCUAACUCCGUGCCAGCAGCCGCCGUAA